rnacentral:rRNA from 1 species
AACGAACGCUGGCGGCAUGCCUAACACAUGCAAGUCGAACGAGACCUUCGGGUCUAGUGGCGCACGGGUGCGUAACGCGUGGGAACCUGCCCUUAGGUUCGGAAUAACUCCCCGAAAGGGGUGCUAAUACCGGAUAAUGUCUUCGGACCAAAGAUUUAUCGCCUUUGGAUGGGCCCGCGUUGGAUUAGCUAGUUGGUAGGGUAAAAGCCUACCACGGCGACGAUCCAUAGCUGGUCUGAGAGGAUGGUCAGCCACACUGGGACUGAGACACGGCCCAGACUCCUACGGGAGGCAGCAGUGGGGAAUAUUGGACAAUGGGCGAAAGCCUGAUCCAGCAAUGCCGCGUGAGUGAUGAAGGCCUUAGGGUUGUAAAGCUCUUUUACCCGGGAUGAUAAUGACAGUACCGGGAGAAUAAGCUCCGGCUAACUCCGUG